UGCUCCCGGCGCCCCGAUUGGCUGCCCGCCGCCCCUGCUUCCGGCGAGGCGCUAAUGGCGCCCGCCGAGACGGAAGUGCUGAGCCGGUGGGGGUUGCUAGCCAACGCACUGCCCGCCCCAUCGGGCCGCGGGCGGCUGCACCUCACCGUGCGGGCCCGGCCGGCGGCGUCCCACCGCGGGCAGUGCUCGGCUGCUCCCUCGGCAGAGCCACCGAAGCCGAUAGAGCUCUGCACAGAGGCACGAAGCCGCUGUUUGUCCUUGGGGGUGUUUCUUUUCACAAGCACCAGUGCUCACGGAGGGAAAUAAAACAGCAGUAAAAGAAUAAAUAAAGUAAAUAACGCAGCACUCCACGUAGAGCGUGUUUGUCCUGGAAUUAGCUCUAAGAGUUGUUUAUCCCAAGCAGAACCCAGAGACCUGGAGAGGGAUCAAGACGGAAGAGUUAGGCCGCCUGAGGAGCAAACACGGGGCCCAGGCGGAUGGGCUGUAGUGGUUUCCCAUGAUCCUGGCCCUCCUGCCUUGCUCUCCUUUAUCAGUUCUGGGGGAAGAAUCCUGUUCCCCAACCCUGGCCAGGCCUGUGGAGAGUCACGCAGCGGGAUGUGGAGGAAAACCAGUCAUCCCAGCAGGAGGGGCUGACUUAGCACCAGGAGACCUCGGGACCCAGCAACGGCUUGCGUUCUCACCGUCCUGCUUCAAGCAAGGCGAUGCUCUUGCAACCAUGUGCUUUUGCUCAUUUGUCCCACCCUGAGCAUGUAAAUAAAAUCUGGUUUGACCUGUUUA